UACAGAGGAGCCAAGCGUUGUCCGGAUUGACUGGGCGUAAAGCGCACGCAGGCGGCAUCGCGCGUGGGGUGUGAAAUCUGGCCGCUUAACGGCCAGGCGCCAUCCCAUACGGCGAGGCUGGAGCGAUGCAGAGGUCGGUGGAAUUGCCGGUGUAGUGGUGAAAUGCGCAGAUAUCGGGAGGAACACCUAUGGCGAAGGCAGCUCGCUGGGACGUUACUGACGCUGAGACGCGAAAGCGUGGGGAGCAAACAGG
rnacentral:rRNA from 1 species